rnacentral:misc_RNA from 1 species
AGGAGUCAAUUUGAACCACGGAACAGGAGUACCAGCACUAUCACAACAAAAGAACUCCUGAAAAAUAUUCGGGUAUCGCCUAAGGAAAGUGGAGACUUUCAAAUCAUGAGGGAGUCCAAGCUGCCUAUGCUUUCUUUGGAGAUGGUAAAUAGGAAUACCAGAAGUGGAUUGUGAGGCAAUGAUAGAAACUAGUGUAGUUCCG